GACAUGCUAGUCGCGUGCUUCAGCCAAAACGAGGCACGGCAAACAGCUCAGUAACACGUGGCUAAUCUGCCCUUAGGACGCGAACAACCCCGGGAAACUGGGGCUAAUUCUCGAUAGGUGAAGAACUCUGGAAUGAGUCUUUGCCUAAAAGAGCUUACGUUAUGCUCGUAAGUUUCGCCUAAGGAUGAGGCCGCGACCGAUCAGGUUGUUGGUGAGGUAAUGGCUCACCAAGCCUUUUACCGGUGCGGGCCGUGAGAGCGGGAGCCCGGAGAUGGGCACUGAGACAAGGGCCCAGGCCCUACGGGGCGCAGCAGUCGCGAAAACUUUGCAAUACACGAAAGUGUGACAGGGCUAUCCCGAGUGCCAUCCGCUGAGGAAGGCUUUUACCCAGUCUAGAACGCUGGGGGAAUAAGGAGAGGGCAAGUCUGGUGUCAGCCGCCGCGGUAAUACCAGCUCUCCGAGUGGUGUGGAUGUUUAUUGGGCCUAAAGCAUCCGUAGCUGGCUAGGUAAGUCCCCUGUUAAAUCCACCGAAUUAAUCGUUGGAUCGCGGGGGAUACUGCUUGGCUAGGGGACGAGAGAGGCAGACGGUAUUUUUGGGGUAGGGGUGAAAUCCUAUAAUCCCAGGAAGACCACCAGUGGCGAAGGCUGUCUGCUAGAACGCGCCCGACGGUGAGGGAUGAAAGCUGGGGGAGCGAACCGGAUUAGAUACCCGGGUAGUCCCAGCUGUAAACGAUGCAGACUAGGUGUUUGGACGGCCACGUGCCGUUCUAGUGCCGCAGGAAAGCUGUUAAGUCUGCCGCCUGGGGAGUACGAUCGCAAGAUUGAAACUUAA
rnacentral:rRNA from 1 species